rnacentral:rRNA from 1 species
UAUUCUAAGGCGCUUGAGAGAACUCAGGAGAAGGAACUCGGCAAAUUGACACCGUAACUUCGGAAGAAGGUGUGCCUUUAGUAGGUGAACCUGUACAAGGGGAGCCCAAUGAGGUUGCAAAAAAUCGGUGGCUGCGACUGUUUAAUAAAAACACAGCACUCUGCAAACACGAAAGUGGACGUAUAGGGUGUGACGCCUGCCCGGUGCUGGAAGAUUAAAUGAUGGGGUGCAAGCUCUUGAUUGAAGUCCCAGUAAACGGCGGCCGUAACGAUAACGGUCCUAAGGUAGCGAAAUUCCUUGUCGGGUAAGUUCCGACCUGCACGAAUGGCGUAACGAUGGCCACACUGUCUCCUCCUGAGACUCAGCGAAGUUGAAAUGUUUGUGAUGAUGCAAUCUCCCCGCGGAAAGACGGAAAGACCCCAUGGACCUUUACUGUAGCUUUGUAUUGGACUUUGAACAGAUCUGUGUAGGAUAGGUGGGAGGCUUUGAAGUGUGGUCGCUAGAUCGCAUGGAGCCAACGUUGAAAUACCACCCUGGUGUGUUUGAGGUUCUAACCUAGGCCCGUAAUCCGGGUCGGGGACAGUGCAUGGUAGGCAGUUUGACUGGGGCGGUCUCCUCCCAAAGCGUAACGGAGGAGUUCGAAGGUACGCUAGGUACGGUCGGACAUCGUGCUAAUAGUGCAAUGGCAUAAGCGUGCUUAACUGCGAGACUGACAAGUCGAGCAGAUGCGAAAGCAGGACAUAGUGAUCCGGUGGUUCUGUAUGGAAGGGCCAUCGCUCAACGGAUAAAAGGUACUCUGGGGAUAACAGGCUGAUACCGCCCAAGAGUUCAUAUCGACGGCGGUGUUUGGCACCUCGAUGUCGGCUCAUCUCAUCCUGGGGCUGUAGCCGGUCCCAAGGGUAUGGCUGUUCGCCAUUUAAAGAGGUACGUGAGCUGGGUUUAAAACGUCGUGAGACAGUUUGGUCCCUAUCUUCCGUGGGCGCUGCAGAUUUGAGGAAGCCUGCUCCUAGUACGAGAGGACCGGAGUGGACACACCUCUGGUGUAUCGGUUGUCACGCCAGUGGCAUUGCCGAGUAGCUAUGUGUGGAAGAGAUAACCGCUGAAAGCAUCUAAGCGGGAAACUCGUUUCAAGAUGAGAUCUGCCGGGGCCUUGAGCCCCCUAAAGAGUCGUUCAAGACCAGGACGUUGAUAGGUCGGGUGUGGAAGCGCAGUAAUGCGUUAAGCUAACCGAUACUAAUUGCUCGUGCGGCUUGACC